ACGUACCUCUGACGGCGAGGGUGCGCCCUGCUCCGGACCGAAAGGCCGUGCAGCGGGCAAUCCCGAGCCGCUCAACCCUCACAAACCCACCGUGAACCUUUGUCGGCGGAGGGCCCUCGUGGCCCCGAGCCGGAUCACAAACCCCAAGUUUUUGAAUGCAAAGCGGACUCUGUGCCGCCUAAACUUAAA
rnacentral:misc_RNA from 1 species